rnacentral:rRNA from 1 species
GACGAACGCUGGCGGCGUGCCUAAUACAUGCAAGUCGAACGAGAGCGACCGGUGCUUGCACUGGUCAAUCUAGUGGCGAACGGGUGAGUAACACGUGGGUAACCUGCCCAUCAGAGGGGGAUAACAUUCGGAAACGGAUGCUAAAACCGCAUAGGUUCUACAGUCGCAUGACUGAAGAAGGAAAAGAGGCUUCGGCUUCUGCUGAUGGAUGGACCCGCGGUGCAUUAGCUAGUUGGUGAGGUAACGGCUCACCAAGGCCGUGAUGCAUAGCCGACCUGAGAGGGUGAUCGGCCACAUUGGGACUGAGACACGGCCCAAACUCCUACGGGAGGCAGCAGUAGGGAAUCUUCCGCAAUGGACGCAAGUCUGACGGAGCAACGCCGCGUGAGUGAAGAAGGAUUUCGGUUCGUAAAACUCUGUUGUUAGAGAAGAACAGCGCAUAGAGUAACUGUUAUGCGUGUGACGGAUCUAACCAUGAAAGCC